rnacentral:rRNA from 1 species
AUUGAACGCUGGCGGCAUGCCUUACACAUGCAAGUCGAACGGUAACAGGUCUUCGGAUGCUGACGAGUGGCGAACGGGUGAGUAAUACAUCGGAACGUGCCUAGUAGUGAGGGAUAACUACUCGAAAGAGUGGCUAAUACCGCAUGAGAUCUACGGAUGAAAGCAGGGGAUCGCAAGACCUUGUGCUAAUAAAGCGGCCGAUGGCAGAUUAGGUAGUUGGUGGGAUAAAAGCUUACCAAGCCGACGAUCUGUAGCUGGUCUGAGAGGACGAUCAGCCACACUGGGACUGAGACACGGCCCAGACUCCUACGGGAGGCAGCAGUGGGGAAUUUUGGACAAUGGGCGAAAGCCUGAUCCAGCAAUGCCGCGUGCAGGAUGAAGGCCUUCGGGUUGUAAACUGCUUUUGUACGGAACGAAAAGCCCCGGGUUAAUACCCUGGGGUCAUGACAGUACCGUAAGAAUAAGCACCGGCUAACUACGUGCCAGCAGCCGCGGUAA